UUAGUGAUGUGAAUGGUUGCCUUCAGUGCUGGCUCCGGCAAGUGCACGUUGGUGACUUCAUCCAAUACCCUGUGAACCAAUGGCCUCUUGCUAGCUUCGGUUGGCAGAGGAUUUUACACCAACUCGAAUGUAAUGAAAUAUAGAUGUUGUGCACACGCACACUAUGUACAACUUUCAACAACGGAUCUCUUGGCUCUCGCAUCGAUGAAGAACGCAGCGAAAUGCGAUAAGUAAUGUGAAUUGCAGAAUUCAGUGAAUCAUCGAAUCUUUGAACGCACCUUGCACCCUUUGGUAUUCCGAAGGGUAUGCUCGUUUGAGUGUCAUUGUACUCUCACACUUCCAAUCGUUGAUUGGGAGAGGUGGACUUGGGUGCUGCUUCUUUACUGUGGCUCACCUCAAAUGCAUUAGUGCAACUCCUGAUUGGACAUAGUACGGCGUGAUAAGUGUCUUCGCCGGCGCCUCGCAUAGAAUCGAGGGUGGCUGAUCGGGAGCUCUGUGCCUCAAACCGUCUUUAGACAAACCUUGACAACUUGGCCUCAAAUCGAGUAGGACUACCCGCUGAACUUAAGCAUAUC
rnacentral:rRNA from 1 species